GAUGAACGCUAGCGGGAGGCUUAACACAUGCAAGUCGAGGGGCAGCACGAGGUAGCAAUACUUUGGUGGCGACCGGCGCACGGGUGAGUAACGCGUAUGCAACCUACCCUGUACAGGGGGAUAACCCGGAGAAAUUCGGACUAAUACCCCAUAAAGAUAUUUAGAGGCAUCUUUGAAUAUUUAAAGUUCCGGCGGUACGGGAUGGGCAUGCGUAACAUUAGCUAGUUGGUAAGGUAACGGCUUACCAAGGCAACGAUGUUUAGGGGUCCUGAGAGGGUGAUCCCCCACACUGGUACUGAGACACGGACCAGACUCCUACGGGAGGCAGCAGUGAGGAAUAUUGGUCAAUGGGCGCAAGCCUGAACCAGCCAUCCCGCGUGAAGGAAGAAUGCGCUAUGCGUUGUAAACUUCUUUUCCAGGGGAAUAAAAUUUUGUACGUGUACGGAAUUGAAGGUACCCUGGGAAUAAGCAUCGGCUAACUCCGUGCCAGCCGCCGCAGUAAAAC
rnacentral:rRNA from 1 species